UAGGGCUGGGUUAGGAGUAGGGUUAGGUUAGGAGUAGGGUUAGGGUUAGGGUAAGGUUAGGAGUAGUGGGAAGGGUUAGGAGUAGGGUUAGGUUAGGAGUAGGGCUACUCCUAACCCAACCCUAACCCUACUCCUUACCCAACCCUAACCCAAACCCUACUCCUAACCCAACCCUACCCUUAACCCUAACCCAACCCUACCCUUAACCCUACACUAACCCUACCCCUAACCCUACCCUAA